GAUGGACGCUGGCGGCGCGCCUAACACAUGCAAGUCGAACGAAGCUUGCCGGAUUAUUUCUUCUGCAUGAAACCAGAUAUGACUUAUUGGCGGACGGGUGAGUAACACUUGAUCAACCUGCCCUUCAGAGGGGGAUAACGGCUGGAAACGAUCGCUUAUAGCUCCUGAUUUGGUCUGAGGGCAUCACCUCAAUAUCAAAGAUUUAUCGCUGAUAGCUGGGCUCGCGUCUGAUUAGAUAGUGGGUGGGGUAACGGGCUAACAAGUCUACGAUCAGUAGCCGGACUGAGAGGGUGAACGGACACAGGGGGACUGAGAUACGGCCGAGACUCCUACGGGAGGCAGCAGUGGAGAAUAGUGCAAUAUGCGGGAAACCCUGAUGCAGCAACGCCGCGUGAAGGAUGACGGUUUUCGGAGUGUAAACUUCUUUUCUUAGUGACGAAGACAGUGACGGUAGCUAAGGAAUAAGCAUCGGCUAACUACGUG
rnacentral:rRNA from 1 species